AGCUUUGCGCAGUGGCAGUAUCGUAGCCAAUGAGGUUUAUCCGAGGCGCAAUUAUUGCUAAUUGAAACAAAAUUAUGAGCUAAAUAAACCUCUUUUCUGCAUAAGUAGAUUACUUUUUUUUAAAUAAUAUUGAAAAGUAGACUAAUCUA
rnacentral:snRNA from 1 species